GACGAACGCUGGCGGCGUGCUUAACACAUGCAAGUCGAACGGAAAGGCCCUGCUUUUGUGGGGUGCUCGAGUGGCGAACGGGUGAGUAACACGUGAGUAACCUGCCCUUGACUUUGGGAUAACUUCAGGAAACUGGGGCUAAUACCGGAUAGGAGCUCCUGCUGCAUGGUGGGGGUUGGAAAGUUUCGGCGGUUGGGGAUGGACUCGCGGCUUAUCAGCUUGUUGGUGGGGUAGUGGCUUACCAAGGCUUUGACGGGUAGCCGGCCUGAGAGGGUGACCGGCCACAUUGGGACUGAGAUACGGCCCAGACUCCUACGGGAGGCAGCAGUGGGGAAUAUGGCACAAUGGGCGGAAGCCUGAUGCAGCAACGCCGCGUGCGGGAUGACGGCCUUGGGGUUGUAAACCGCUUUCGCCUGUGACGAAGCGUGAGUGACGGUAAUGGGUAAAGAAGCACCGGCUAACUACGUG
rnacentral:rRNA from 1 species